rnacentral:misc_RNA from 1 species
UCCACCUGCAAAGCAAUAAGUUUUACAAUCUAGUUCUUCACAACUUAAAAAUGUGGAAUGAAUGCAUUGUGAAUCUUUUGCAAAAGUGAGGAUAUAAGAGUAUGAAUGAGUUGAACUAUAUAGGUUGAUUGUAUUAGUUAACACAUUAGGUAAAGUGUUUCAGUUAGUGUUGAAUCAGAUUGUGUACAUGGAUUCCGUGACUUGGAGUGCUAGGUGAAGAACAGAAUGAUUUCUGUAUGAAUGGCAGACCUGAGGAUAAGGAGUUUGUGGUGAAAGAAACAGUUGAGAAAAAAAGGAUGGAUUUAAACUGUACAUAGGUUCUCUGAAUAUAGAGAAAGCAUACAACAAAGUGAAUAGAGAAAUAUUAGGUAGAGUCUUAGGAAUGAUUGGGUUGAGUGCAAAGAUAAUUAUAAUCAACACAUUGUGUAGCCUUUAUAUUGACACAUGUUAACAUGAGCUAAAUACAGACCAGGGGAUAUAGAAACUGGCACCACAUGUUAUACACACUCAACCUUAACUACAAGUGUUCACUUAUUAUUGUAAAUUCACACAAAAGAAACAUUCAAUGGGAUUGGGAGAGACUGGUUUUAAAUUUGACAGCAAAGUUCUAAAGGUGUUAUGAUAGUCUGUUUUUGCUUUGAGGUGUCUUAUGUUAUUCAUGGGAUUUGUUAUUUCUUUAGUUAUUUUUUUAUUAAUUUGGGCAGAUAUUUUUUCUUUACUAUCUUUCACUAUUUUUUCAUUGAAUUUACAGGUUUACAUCCAUACCAAGAAAAAUGUAUUGAUAGGUCAAACCACAGUGCAAAACUCCCAGAACUUCAAGAGAUUUGCUAGUCUCAUGAGGGAGUGAGAUUUCAUGUUGAAGGUGUUCAGUAAAGGGUUUAGAUAUCAAACUCAAAAUAUACUACAAUAGAAAAUUUUGUUUGAAGACUGGCUUGAUUUUAUAGAAAUAAGUAUGCUCUUAUUUGUACUAACAAUAAAGGGUAAGAUUGAAUGUUAAUGUAGAAAGCAUUUAAUUACCUUGAUUUAAGUAAAUACCUUGAUUUACCUACUUUCAUGCAAGAAGCUCUUCAUCAUCAUAUUGACUUGUAACAAUUAUGGAAAAUUUAUGGAAUAUUUUGGAGACCUGAGAAGAUAAUCAGAGUUAAUGUAUCUCCUUGCAGCUCAAAGAGAUUUUCUCUCAUAAUCAAAUGACAAUCGGCAUAAUGAGUAAAUAUCUCUAAUAUGAUUCCAUCACUCAUGUGACACUAAUGUUGACUAGUGUAUAAGACUAAUAGAAACAAGGCGUGUAUAGUAUAUUGAUAUAUACAUUCUAAGUAUUGUUUUACUGUAGCAAUAGAAAGUAAGAUUUUCUUCAAACAUUUUAGUCUAAAUUACAGUUCAGCUGCUUCACGAAAUGAGUGUUCAAGCCAGUGAUGGUAACAUGAAGCUUUUGAAGGCUAUACGCAACCCUGUCACAGCUCACCUCCCUGCUGGGUGCAAGAAGAUUGGCACCUCUUUCACUGCUAAGAAACUUGUCAAUCCACGAGAGAUUGUUCCUGAGAAUAAUCCCAUUGUAAUUGUGAUUGGAUCCAUGGCUCAUGGGAAGGUGGAAGUAUAUUAUUUUGAAGAAAUUGCAAUAUCAAGGUACCACUUGUCUGUAGCGUUAACCUGUGCCUAAGUGUGCAGUGGUUUUGAAGAAGUGUGGGGCGUCAAGUAGGAGUGUGGCCAGCUGCUAUAGACAGGUGCUCCAGUUAUCUCGUGCUUGUGCCAACGUGCCAAGUCUGUGAGCGACACACACGCCAUGGCAAGCAGUGGAUUGGGAGUUGGGUUCAGUGGAUGGGACUGGGCUGUGUUUGUGGUGACCUUGAUGGCGUCUCUUGGUACCGGAGCGUUUGCAGGAUGGGUGGCGCGACGGAAGACUAAGAAAAGCGACGUGAAGGGCACAGCGGCAGAGUUUCUGAUGGGGGGAAGAGAGCUGAAUCUUUUCGCUGUGGCUCUUUCCACUAUGAUCGGUGCCUUAUCAUCCAUUUCAAUCUUAGGCAACUCCGCUGAGAUGUACGCCUACGGAACACAGUUGUGUAUGAGCCUAAUCGGCACCGCCCUCGGGGCUGUCUUCGUACACUUAGUGAACCUGAGAGUAUUCUACCCUCUGAAAAUUACCAGUGUUUACACGUACAUAGAGAGACGGUUCCAGUCGAGGGCGUUGACGUACUUCAUUGUGUACUCCACCUUUGUGGGCACUUUCUUCUACGUGGGCCUGUGUGCCUACACUCCCUCGCUGGCCAUGGAGACGAUGACUGGCGUGCCCGCUUGGGUGUCCAUCAUUAUCAUGGGAGUGGUCUGCACCAUCUAUUCCUCCUUGGGCGGCGUGCGGGCGGUGGUCUACACGGACAUCCUGCAGGUGUUUGUGAUGAUGGGAGGCGUGGUGACCAUCUUGGUGACGGCUGUGGUGGAGGUGGGCGGCAUGGGGAGGGUGUUCGACAUUGCCAGGGAGCACGGCAGGAUAGAGCUCUGGAACGUCAAUCCUGACCCCCUGCAGCGUCACAGUCUAUGGCUGGUCAUCAUGCAAGGCUACUUCCUGGUGCUUCUAGUAUUCGGGAUGGGCCAGCCUCAAGUGCAACGCAUAUGCUCCGUCUCCACCUGGCGCAAGGCUAUUGGGGCUCACUAUCUCAACAUCGCCAUAUUCAUCACUUCGAUGGUUUCCUUCUACCUGUUGGGUUUGUCCGUCUAUGCCGUCUACGCAGACUGCGACCCUCUAGCAACAGGAGAGAUCUCGAAAGCUGAUCAGCUCGUGCCUUUCUAUGUCAGUGAUCGCCUUUCGGGAUAUUAUGGAUUGCCUGGACUUCUCAUAGCCUCUCUCUACGCCGGUGGACUGAGCUCAUACUCCUCACAAAUCAAUGCCGUAUCUGCCGUCAUGUGGGAGGAUUUCUUCAAAAACUCUGCGUGGGUGGCAUCCAUGAAGGAGGAGCGACGACCCUACGUCAACGUGCUAGUCAGUGCCAUCACAGGGACGCUUGGCGUGGUGGCUGGCAUUGUGUCCACGCAGGUGGGCGGAGUAUUCCAGGCGGGGCAGACCAUCCUGGGUACCAUCAAUGCCCCACAGCUUGGCCUCUUCCUGUUAGGGAUGUGCUGCCCCUUUGCCAAUAAGAUAGGCGGCAUGGUAGGCAUGGCCGCGUCUCUCGCCUUCAACUUCUGGGUCACGCUGGGCGCCAUGUUCAGUGGCGUUUCUGCUCCAACUCUUGAUUUCUCCGAUGACGGUUGUGCCCUUUCCACAUCCCCUAAUUCAUCCUUUCCUCCAACCUCUCCCUUCACCGAGUCACCAAGCACUUACUCCACGUCGUUUGUUCCCCCGACAGAACCGCCACAAGAUCCGUACGUGUUUCCACUGUACCUGAUGUCCUACACGAUGUAUUCCUUCGUCGGUGUCUCCAUCACCGUCUUCGUCGGCGCUGUCACUUCUCUUCUUACUAAUCCAUGGACGACAAAGAAGGCGGGGAAGAUCUACCUCCACCCAACCUUCUACGCCCUUCAGAAGAGAUGGGAAAAUCGCAGGUCUAACACGGAUCCUCCAUUCAAAAGCACACAAGACCUCGUGUCAAUGGAGAAAUUCUGAGAGAUUGGCUGGGAAGAUGUGAGAAAGCAGCAGGUAUGGGCAGGUGAUUUGAGGCUGUUAGGAUUAGCGUUAGCCUUCGGUAGUGGUGAUCACGGUGGUAAUGUGUUCGGUGUAAAUUCAUUUGUAUCGUAUUGAAUAGUGUAAUCAUAAUCGCUAUUAAAGUAAGUAUUGUUUCAUUAUUUUCUGUACUAAAUGCAUAAGCGGCACGUAAUAUUUAUUUAUUUUCUUCUUUCUUGUUAGAAUAGCUUGACAUUGAAUAAGUAUGAUGUUGUUU